CGCCUAACACAUGCAAGUCGAACGAAGUAGCAAUACUUAGUGGCAGACGGGUGAGUAACAUGUGGGUAUCUACCCUUUGGCCUGGAAUAACACGAGGAAACUUGUGCUAAUACCGGAUAAGUCCUAACGGAGAAAGUUUUAAUGCCAAAAGAUGAGCCCGCAUUUGAUUAGUUUGUUGGUAGGGUAAUGGCCUACCAAGACUAUGAUCAAUAGCUGAUUUGAGAGGAUGAUCAGCCACAUUGGGACUGAGACACGGCCCAAACUCC
rnacentral:rRNA from 1 species